AACGAACGCUGGCGGCAUGCCUAACACAUGCAAGUCGAACGAAGGCUUCGGACUUAGUGGCGCACGGGUGCGUAACGCGUGGGACCCUGCCCCUUGGUUCGGAAUAACUCAGGGAAACUUGGGCUAAUACCGGAUGAUGACUUCGGUCCAAAGAUUUAUCGCCGAGGGAGGGGCCCGAGUGGGAUUAGCUGGUUGGUGGGGUAAAGGCCUACCAAGGCGACGAUCCUUAGCUGGUCUGAGAGGAUGAUCAGCCACACUGGGACUGGGACACGGCCCAGACUCCUACGGGAGGCAGCAGUGGGGAAUAUUGGACAAUGGGCUAAAGCCUGAUCCAGCAAUGCCGCGUGAGUGAUGAAGGCCUUAGGGUUGUAAAUCUCUUUUACCCGGGAUGAUAAUGACAGUACCGGGAGAAUAAGCUCCGGCUAACUCCGUGCCAGCCGCCGCCGUAACAC
rnacentral:rRNA from 1 species